rnacentral:rRNA from 1 species
UAAUGUAUGGGGAUCUGCCCGAUAGAGGGGGAUAACUACUGGAAACGGUGGCUAAUACCGCAUAAUGUCUACGGACCAAAGCAGGGGCUCUUCGGACCUUGCACUAUCGGAUGAACCCAUAUGGGAUUAGCUAGUAGGUGGGGUAAAGGCUCACCUGGGCGACGAUCUCUAGCUGGUCUGAGAGGAUGAUCAGCCACACUGGGACUGAGACACGGCCCAG